UGGCUCAGAACGAACGCUGGCGGCAGGCUUAACACAUGCAAGUCGAGCGCCCCGCAAGGGGAGCGGCAGACGGGUGAGUAACGCGUGGGAAUCUACCCAUCUCUACGGAAUAACGCAUGGAAACGUGUGCUAAUACCGUAUACGUCCUUCGGGAGAAAGAUUUAUCGGAGAUGGAUGAGCCCGCGUUGGAUUAGCUAGUUGGUGGGGUAAAGGCCUACCAAGGCGACGAUCCAUAGCUGGUCUGAGAGGAUGAUCAGCCACACUGGGACUGAGACACGGCCCAGACUCCUACGGGAGGCAGCAGUGGGGAAUAUUGGACAAUGGGCGCAAGCCUGAUCCAGCCAUGCCGCGUGAGUGAUGAAGGCCCUAGGGUUGUAAAGCUCUUUCACCGGUGAAGAUAAUGACGGUAACCGGAGAAGAAGCCCCGGCUAACUUCGUGCCAGCAGCCGCGGUAAUACGAAGGGGGCUAGCGUUGUUCGGAUUUACUGGGCGUAAAGCGCACGUAGGCGGACUAUUAAGUCAGGGGUGAAAUCCCGGGGCUCAACCCCGGAACUGCCUUUGAUACUGGUAGUCUUGAGUUCGAGAGAGGUGAGUGGAAUUCCGAGUGUAGAGGUGAAAUUCGUAGAUAUUCGGAGGAACACCAGUGGCGAAGGCGGCUCACUGGCUCGAUACUGACGCUGA
rnacentral:rRNA from 1 species